rnacentral:rRNA from 1 species
GAUGAACGCUGGCUGCGUGCCUAAUACAUGCAAGUCGAGCGAACGGACGAGAAGCUUGCUUCUCUGGUGUUAGCGGCGGACGGGUGAGUAACACGUGGAUAACCUACCUAUAAGACUGGGAUAACUUCGGGAAACCGGAGCUAAUACCGGAUAAUAUUUUGAACCGCAUGGUUCAAAAGUGAAAGACGGUCUUGCUGUCACUUAUAGAUGGAUCCGCGCUGCAUUAGCUAGUUGGUAAGGUAACGGCUUACCAAGGCAACGAUGCAUAGCCGACCUGAGAGGGUGAUCGGCCACACUGGAACUGAGACACGGUCCAGACUCCUACGGGAGGCAGCAGUAGGGAAUCUUCCGCAAUGGGCGAAAGCCUGACGGAGCAACGCCGCGUGAGUGAUGAAGGUCUUCGGAUCGUAAAACUCUGUUAUUAGGGAAGAACAUAUGUGUAAGUAACUGUGCACAUCUUGACGGUACCUAAUCAGAAAGCCACGGCUAACUACGUG